rnacentral:lncRNA from 1 species
AAAAAUCAGAAUAAGAAGUACCUGACAUACUUUCUACAUCUGUAGUUGCGGAAGACAUUUUAAUAGGUCUUCUCAUAGCCUUUCUUUGCUAAGGACAUUGUGACUCUCCAGAGAGCAACAGUGAUGGCUCUAGAAUGUCUAGGAAAAAGAAGGGCUUAAUGUCAGGAGUCUGCUUGGGGCACACAACACUAGAAGAUGUCCUUCUGCACAUUGUUUCAUAUCGAGUAUGGAACCCUUCAGAUCAAAGCUUACCAAUAAAUUCAGUAUGUAGAACAGAUUAACGUAGUUGAAAUGAGGAAGAAUGAGAGUUAUCUCAACCAGCCAGCACCCCCUAUCCCCAUUCCCACACUUUCCCUCAUGGGAGGCUGUCGGGAGCACUUCGAAAACCACUGGAAAGGCCGGGCACGGUGGCUCAUGCCUGUAAUCCCAGCACUUUGGGAGGCCAAGGCAGGCAGAUCACCUGAGGUCAGGAGUUCGAAACCAGCCUGGCCAACAUGGCGAAACCCCAUCUUUACUAAAAAUACGAAAAUUAGCCAGGUAUUAGAAUUAUUUCUGAAUUAUCAGUCUCUCAUUUGUGCUUUGGAGAAGCAGAAAAGGCAAAAGGGGUCUUUGGCCAUCUUCUGCUGGAGCUUCCAGGGAGGAUGUGUCUCCAAGAGACCAGAUGUACCGAGUUUGAAAUCCCAGAAGCCCAAGAGGAAAAGAAUCACAGGGAGGAAAAGACUGUCCAAAGGCUUCUGGAGUCUUCUGUUCUCUAACCUUGGAAGGUUUUGAACAAUAUUUCUCAGAGGAUAGCCUUUCACUUAUUCAUCUGUCCAGCAUGACUCAUCCCCGGGAGUGUUGAGUAAGUGAAAUUUUGCUGUAUUCAUGUUUUUGUGACUUAUAAAAUAGGAUGAUAAGGAGAGAACAUGAACUCUGGAGUCAGACCUGUUACCUCGGACAUGAUACUCUUAGCUUUGUCAUUUAGUAUUUGAGUAAUUUUGGGCAAGCUAACAUCUCUGGUCGUUCUCAUCUGUAAAAUGAGAAUAAAUGAAACCCACUAACCAGAAUUGGUAUGAAAAUGAAAUGUGGCAGAAAAAAAAUGAAAGUGAAUAGUAUCACCACUGACACACAAGCACUAAAGGCCCUUCCUGUCUCCAUCAGGUAUGGAUUUGGGGCAACAUUUGGCCAGGUCUUGUUUAUCUUUCUGUUCAUCUAUUCUGUCUAAUUCAGUGCUUUGUUUACAACGAAUGUCUUACAAAUGCUGACUGAACACUAGCAUACCUGCAUGAACAACAGGUAAAUAAAUUUUAGAUGUGUUUUAAUGUUUAUUAAUCUAUCCUGUCAGAGAAGAACUGCCAGUUAUAGAUAAAUAUGAUGCCAGGUCAGGGCUGAAGAGUUGGGCAGGUUGUUAUCUGCAUGGGGUCACUAGGUUCCAGUGGAGAGGUGGGGGCUAAGCUCUCACCCGCUCUGCAGCCACCUGGCACCCGGUUUCAGUUUCCUGAAAGGGAGCCUUCUACUUGCUGACGACUGCCUCAUCUCUUCUGAGGUUUCCUCUGAUAAACAAUUUUCUCUGCUUUUUUUUUUUAAUUAUGAAAUACUUAAAAUGUAAAGGAGAUAAUGUGACACACAUUUACCCAUAAUUGAGAUUGCCAUAAUUGCUAUAACUUUUUCAAAAUUUUGACUUAAUUUCAGACUUUUAGAAAAAUUGGCCAGGUGUGAUGGCUCAUGCCUGUAAUCCCAGCACUUUGGGAGGCCAAGGUGGGUAAAUUACUUGAACCCAGCAGUUCGAGACUUGCCUGGGCAACAUAGUGAGACCUUGUCUCUACUGAAAACAAACU